GCGAGCCCACCUCCCACCCGUGUUUACUGUACCUUAGUUGCUUCGGCGGGCCCGCCAUUCAUGGCCGCCGGGGGCUCUCAGCCCCGGGCCCGCGCCCGCCGGAGACACCACGAACUCUGUCUGAUCUAGUGAAGUCUGAGUUGAUUGUAUCGCAAUCAGUUAAAACUUUCAACAAUGGAUCUCUUGGUUCCGGCAUCGAUGAAGAACGCAGCGAAAUGCGAUAACUAGUGUGAAUUGCAGAAUUCCGUGAAUCAUCGAGUCUUUGAACGCACAUUGCGCCCCCUGGUAUUCCGGGGGGCAUGCCUGUCCGAGCGUCAUUGCUGCCCAUCAAGCACGGCUUGUGUGUUGGGUCGUCGUCCCCUCUCCGGGGGGGACGGGCCCCAAAGGCAGCGGCGGCACCGCGUCCGAUCCUCGAGCGUAUGGGGCUUUGUCACCCGCUCUGUAGGCCCGGCCGGCGCUUGCCGAACGCAAAUCAAUCUUUUUCCAGGUUGACCUCGGAUCAGGUAGGGAUACCCGCUGAACUUAAGCAUAUCAAUAGCGGAG
rnacentral:rRNA from 1 species